UCCAACAUUGGGUGCAUUUGCAGAGUUCAUCUCUGAAUUUGACAUGCCUAGUGGUUCAAGUUCAAAGAACAAAGAUGCAAGUGUUCUUGAGACUGGUAGGCCUUUUAGCCCUGCCAUGUUUGAAGGUGUUCUCAAAAUUUUUACUCCAGAUGUACCAACUAGCAUCUCGGGCAGGCCAAGACAAGAAGAUGCUCAGGAGUUCCUUAGCUUCAUUAUGGAUCAGAUGCAUGAUUAAUUACUUAAGCUUGAAGGACAGCCCUCGAGUAUUAAUGGGCUCAAAUCAUCUCUAGUAUCUUCUGCAGAAGAAGAUGAAUGGGAGACGGUUGGCCCUAAGAAUACAUCUGCAGUAACCAGGACACAGAGUUUU